GACGAACGCUGGCGGCGUGCUUAACACAUGCAAGUCGAACGGAAAGGCCCUGCUUUUGUGGGGUGCUCGAGUGGCGAACGGGUGAGUAACACGUGAGUAACCUGCCCUUGACUUUGGGAUAACUUCAGGAAACUGGGGCUAAUACCGGAUAGGAGCUCCUGCUGCAUGGUGGUGGUUGGAAAGUUUCGGCGGUUGGGGAUGUACUCGCGGCUUAUCAGCUUGUUGGUGUGGUAGUGGCUUACCAAGGCUUUGACGGGUAGCCGGCCUGAGAGGGUGACCGGCCACAUUGGGACUGAGAUACGGACCAGAAGCCUACGGGAGGCAGCAGUCGGGAAUAUUGCACAAUGGGCGGAAGUCUGAUACAGCAACGCCGCGUGCGGGAUGACGGCCUUCGGGUUGUAAACAGAUUUCGCAUGUGACGAAGAGUGAGUGACGGUAAUGGGUAAAGAAGCAACGGCUAACUACGUG
rnacentral:rRNA from 1 species